rnacentral:lncRNA from 1 species
ACAAGGAUACAGGCUUGUUGGCAGAUGCUCUCUCUGUCUGCCACCUGCAGGAGGGGUUUGCUCAUCCCUGAGAGUGUCAAAGUAAAACACAAUUUAUAGCCUAACAGAAAGCAUAACAGAACAUUAAACCAAGGAUUUUUACAUUCUGUCCAUUCAAGGCCUCACAUUUACACAGGCAGUUAUUCAUAGAGAAAUUUUUCUUACCACUGUAGAUCUGAACUGGAGAUACCACAAAGCAGCCACAGCUGCACACAAAACGAUUCCCAACAGCUUCCUGGCCUCCAGUCCCUAGAGACAGCAUUAUCAGCACAUUACCAGACAUGAAGGUGAAAACAAGGGAAUGGAACUAGUCAGGGGAGAAAAGAGGAAUAGGAGGAAAGCAAAUGAAAAACACACAGCAGCUGGUCAGUGAGUCUUGAUUUUCAACUCUAAUCUCAGCUUGCACAGUCAAUAGGGAGAAAUACCACAAUUUGCAUGACAAGAGCAGGGUGAACUGAAUGGUAGCAAAUCAAUUCUGCAAGAGGAGAUAAAGCCAGAAUAUAGCUAAUGUAUUAGCAGAAAGGUAGAAAUUCAAUUCCCAUAAUGUCAGAUGAUAUUGAUUAAAACUGACAGUUUUUUUUAUUCUCCUGCCACUUGGGCUCCUGGAACAAGUUAGUCUUCUAAAGGCACCGUUGUCUUACAUGUAUGU